AUUGAACGCUGGCGGCAGGCCUAACACAUGCGAGUCGAGCGGAUGAAGGGAGCUUGCUCCUGGAUUCAGCGGCGGACGGGUGAGUAAUGCCUAGGAAUCUGCCUGGUAGUGGGGGAUAACGUCCGGAAACGGGCGCUAAUACCGCAUACGUCCUGAGGGAGAAAGUGGGGGAUCUUCGGACCUCACGCUAUCAGAUGAGCCUAGGUCGGAUUAGCUAGUUGGUGGGGUAAAGGCCUACCAAGGCGACGAUCCGUAACUGGUCUGAGAGGAUGAUCAGUCACACUGGAACUGAGACACGGUCCAGACUCCUACGGGAGGCAGCAGUGGGGAAUAUUGGACAAUGGGCGAAAGCCUGAUCCAGCCAUGCCGCGUGUGUGAAGAAGGUCUUCGGAUUGUAAAGCACUUUAAGUUGGGAGGAAGGGCAGUAAGUUAAUACCUUGCUGGUUUGACGCUACCAACAGAAUAAGCACCGGCUAACUUCGUG
rnacentral:rRNA from 1 species